rnacentral:rRNA from 1 species
UUCUUGACAUCAUGCUCAAGUGCACUUGAAGCGGAGAUGCAUGCAUGCAUGGAAGGGAUUGACCUUGCCUUGGAGUGGAGUAACUUGCCGUUCAUCAUAGAGACGGACAGUCUCGUUGUAGCAAACAUGCUGAAGGAAGAAGAACAAAACAGAUCGCCUGUUAUUGCACUAGUAGGUGAGGCAAAACGGCUUCUAGCUCUAGGGCGUGAGCACGUCAUAUCUCAUGUACGUAGAAGUCAAAACGUUGUUAGCCACACCCUAGCCCAAUUGGGACGUUCUACACCUAAAACGGCUGUUUGGCUGCGCCAUGGACCAGUUGAGAUUGGCACACUUUGCCAACUGGAUUGUAGUAACCCUCCUUGA